UGUUUUAACUUCAGAAAUGUGGGAACAGAAUCGCUCUUUGUCAUAUAAUAAUCAUAUUUUAGUUCUGUAAAUGUAAACUAUCUGUGCAAGGAUCUAAUACUACCAAAUGACAACUAACUACCGUGCUGUGCUGUUGUAAUGUUUUCUACAAGUGCUGAGUGGAAAAAUCAUUAGAGGCAUCAUUUGGACGUGUGGUGUGCAUGGUGAGGUGAUGAUCACAUCAUGGUGGGUUCGACUCCGCAAUCAGUCACUGUGAUGGAUCUCGUUACUGCGUGGGCUUCACUUCAGGCUCAUGGGCUACACGGAAACAAUUUUUACGUAUUUUGAGGUCGAAGCGCGUACAUUUUUUGAUAAAGACUUCAAGAGCAGUGCACUUUUAACUACAUUAAAUGUGUGACAUGUUGUGAAAAUCUACCUGUGCUCGACUAUGGGCCAGGUACGACUGAGCAGUACUCAUAACAUAGAGCGAUCGUACGCAAAUAUGGAUACGAUCAUUGACAUAUUUGGCACAAGCAAGGGGCCAGACGCAUAUUUUUUUCUAAGACCAGCAUAUAAGUGAACAAUACAUUUCUAUUUUGUACUUUAAUACUCGUUAAUUGUAAUCCAUGUAAAAUGCGUAGUGGGUUCGUUUGCAACCCUAUAUAGCUGUUUGGUAGUGCUUAAUGCAAAUGUGAAUAAACG